AUUGAACGCUGGCGGCAGGCCUAACACAUGCAAGUCGAACGGUAACAGGAAGACGCUUGCUUCUUUGCUGACGAGUGGCGGACGGGUGAGUAAUGUCUGGGAAACUUCCUGAUGGAGGGGGAUAACUACUGGAAACGGUAGCUAAUACCGCAUAACGUCGCAAGACCAAAGAGGGGGACCUUCGGGCCUCUUGCCAUCGGAUGUGCCCAGAUGGGAUUAGCUAGUAGGUGGGGUAACGGCUCACCUAGGCGACGAUCCCUAGCUGGUCUGAGAGGAUGACCAGGCACACUGGAACUGAGACACGGUCCAGACUCCUACGGGAGGCAGCAGUGGGGAAUAUUGCACAAUGGGCGCAAGCCUGAUGCAGCCAUGCCGCGUGUAUGAAGAAGGCCUUCGGGUUGUAAAGUACUUUCAGCGGGGAGGAAGGGAGUAAAGUUAAUACCUUUGCUCAUUGACGUUACCCGCAGAAGAAGCACCGGCUAACUCCGUG
rnacentral:rRNA from 1 species